rnacentral:rRNA from 1 species
UACGGAGGGGGCUAGCGUUGUUCGGAAUUACUGGGCGUAAAGCGCACGUAGGCGGCUUUGUAAGUUAGAGGUGAAAGCCCAGGGCUUAACCCUGGAAUUGCCUUUAAGACUGCAUCGCUAGAAUUGUGGAGAGGUAAGUGGAAUUCCGAGUGUAGAGGUGAAAUUCGUAGAUAUUCGGAAGAACACCAGUGGCGAAGGCGACUUACUGGACACAUAUUGACGCUGAGGUGGACGAAAGCGUGGGGAGCAAACAGG